rnacentral:rRNA from 1 species
UACGUAGGUGGCGAGCGUUGUCCGGAUUUACUGGGCGUAAAGAGCGCGCAGGCGGCUGGUCAAGUCCGAUGUGAAAGCUCCCGGCUUAACUGGGAAAUUGCAUCGGAAACUGAUCGGCUGGAAGGUGGGGAGAGGGUAGCGGAAUUCCCGGUGUAGUGGUGAAAUUCGUAGAUAUUGGGAAGAACACCAGUGGCGAAGGCG